UCGGUCUCCGCCUGCACAGAGGAAUCUUGGGAGACCCGCCAGGCCAAACUCGGGGAGUGAGUUUUUCUGGAUCUUGUGAGGCGGCAUCGAUCAGAAUAAAUACAUUCACAGUGAUCUUCCUUGCCAAUGGCCAGGCAACGGGUCCUUUGAAUUAGAAAAACUUCUAUAUUUAAAAAGCUUUCGCAGAGCUGUUAUGAUCAUCAUCGUGGCACCUACAGGAAGAUCAAGUUGAAAAAUGAAUGGAAAGAAGUAUCUCGGCUCUCAGGGAAUCUCUUAGUGAGACAAAAGGACAGAGUUAAAUGUACCCAGAGGGAGAAGAAAAACUUUCUACUUUGCGAAACCUGAAGUGCAACUUUAGAGACAUCUGUCUGCCUGUCCCUUCAGAGCCUUGCACAUUUAUUUCAAAAUGUUUGCAGAUAUGAUAAAAUUCUGGCCUUGGGAAAUAAUUAAAAAUCUUUUUAGGAGAGACUUGGGUUCUUUCUUCUCCAGAAACUCAUAAUCUAGGCCAUCCAUUGAAAUGCAAACAUCAGGGGGAAGAAUAAGGAAAAAAACACAAAGAGGAAAGAAAACCCUUUAAAAAUCUAAAAGUGGUUACUUAAAAGCAUCCCAGGAGACAUCUAGACCAUAGGAGAUUUGUGCCUGAUUCAUGACAAAACUUAAAAUGAAACUUGUAAGUUUUCACUUGUGUUCUAAUAAUAAGCUGUGUAUGUGUCUGAUUACAAUUAUAUUUUUCUACUUUCAGAUGGUAUUAC